GACGAACGCUGGCGGCGUGCUUAACACAUGCAAGUCGAACGGAAAGGCCUGCUUUCCCUUGUGGAUUGCGGGUACUCGAGUGGCGAACGGGUGAGUAACACGUGAGUGAUCUGCCCCCAACUUGGGUAUAAGCCUGGGAAACUGGUUCUAAUUCCCGAUAGGACUGCAGGGUGGUGCCUGUGGUGGAAAACGAUUUUCUAGUGGUUGGGGAUGAGCUCGCGGCCUAUCAGCUUGUUGGUGGGGUAAUGGCCUACCAAGGCGGCGACGGGUAGCCGGCCUGGGAGGGUGGACGGCCACAUUGGGACGGAGAUACGGCCCAGACUCCUACGGGAGGCAGCAGUGGGGAAUAUUGCACAAUGGGCGGAAGCCUGAUGCAGCGACGCCGCGUGGGGGAUGACGGCCUUCGGGUUGUAAACUCCUUGCGACCGCGAGGAAGCCACCUGGUUGGAAGGGUGGUGACGGUAGUGGUAGAAGAAGCACCGGCUAACUACGUG
rnacentral:rRNA from 1 species